GCGGUUGGUUCUUCCCGCGCGAGGGGCCGCGCGGCCGCAGCCGGACUUCCCGCGCCCUCAGGUGCUACCUGACCUGCUGAAUGUGUCCAGCAUUUCUGUUUUGAAUUAAAACUUGAUGCAAGUUAGCAUUCAGACACCAGAGAGUUGGACGUGUGCGAGGUUUUGGAGGCUGGAAAAUGGAAGACUUCCCAAAGUGCGGCACCUCAGACUAAACUCCAUCUGCCACCUCUCUGCCCAUAUCUGCAACUGAUCUACAUCUGCUGUAUCCUUCAAAAACCUUCUUCAUUGUCCACAACUCCACCAGUCUCUGUGUCAUCCACAGACCACCAUGUGCUAUCAGGAGAGGUUGGACACCAAUCAGACCACCUCCAUUUUCACCCAAGUCAUCACAAACUGCAUUCGCCCGAAGAUACAACUGCGUGAGACACAGCAUGAAGUUUCCUUGAGAGUGAACGAGGGAGGAACAGCACAUUUACAAGUCACUGACCCGAAGCUCCACUCCCCGCUCGGUUUAUCACCGGUUCAAUCCCAAAUGGAAAGUCAGUUUACUGACGUUGUUCACCUUGCUACCACAAACCAUUUCAACUAAACCGGUGUGCACUUCACUUCACUUUGCAUUUUGGAGACGGUCCCUGGCUGGCUGUUAAAGGAUUUCUAAUUGAAUUAAAUAAAGAUCAGCAAUUGGAUUAAAAAGCUGCUUGUUACCAUGGCCACAAUCCUAAAGCAGGAGGUGAAAGGAAUCGACAGACAGGUGAAUGGAAUGAGAUAGAACAAGGAACGGGAUUACUCCUGGCAUAAGGCUGGA